AGGAUAAGUGCUUAGCAGGUCGAGGACUAUGAAGUUGAUGCAGCUGAUGUGAAAUAGAUUCAGACUCUCAGGGCUCAAGAAACUCAAUCUGUCUUUCAUAAAGAAGGAGGAAUCCUGCAAACUCUUGCACAUAAUCUCCCUAUUAAUCCACCUGGCAAAUCCUUGGCUUUAGUUGAUGUAUUACUUCAAAAGUGAAGGGUAUUUUGAUUAAUAUUGACAUCAUCAAGACCUAUGCGAGUGGACCAGAAGAAGAAUAACGGAUUCUGGUGACUAAUCUAAUACUGACAGCAGCAGAUAGCCUGAAUUCAACAUAGAAAAAUAUUUUUAGUGGAUUUCUCCUGAGCCCAAAACUGAAGGCAGCACUUGGCAAGAGUGAUCACUCACUAUAAAAUCAACCAUGGAACUCUAAAAACUUUUGAACAGAUGUAACAAUAUAUUCUUACUUUAGUAUCUCACUAUCAGUUUUAAAGGUAGCUCCAUUUUUAAAUUCAACUUCUUUGGCCAAACUCGUUCUUCAGAAAUAGCCGUCUGUCCGUCAUAUUAAAUAAACAAA